rnacentral:rRNA from 1 species
CCUACGGGUGGCAGCAGUGAGGAAUAUUGGUCAAUGGGCGGGAGCCUGAACCAGCCAAGCCGCGUGAGGGAAGAAGGUACAGCGUAUCGUAAACCUCUUUUGUCAGGGAACAAAGGCGGGGACUAGUCCCCGGAUGAGUGUACCUGAAGAAAAAGCAUCGGCUAACUCCGUGCCAGCAGCCGCGGUAAUACGGAGGAUGCGAGCGUUAUCCGGAUGUAUUGGGUUUACAGGGUGCGCAGGGGGCCUGUUAAGUCAGCGGUAAAAGCCCGGGGCUCAACCCCGGCGAGCAGGUGAAACUGGCGGGCUGGAGUGGGAGAGAAGUACGCGGAAUGCGAGGUGUAGCGGUGAAAGGCUUAGAGAUAGGGCAGAACCCCUAUUGCGAAGGCAGCGUACCGGCUCCACACUGACGCUGAGGCACGAAAGCGUGGGGAUCGAACAGGAUGAGAUACCCUUGUAGUC